rnacentral:tRNA from 1 species
GUAUGUCUGGUGUAAUUGGUAGCACGCCCGCCUCCAAAGCGGGAAGGUAGGGGUUCGAGUCCUCUGGCAUGCG